rnacentral:rRNA from 1 species
AGUGAACGCUGGCGGCAGGCCUAAUACAUGCAAGUCGAACGGCAGCACAGCAGAGCUUGCUCUGUGGGUGGCGAGUGGCGGACGGGUGAGGAAUACAUGGGAAUCUGCCCAGUCGUGGGGGAUAACGUAUGGAAACGUACGCUAAUACCGCAUGCGCCCUACGGGGGAAAGUCGGGGACCGCAAGGCCUGACGCGAUUGGAUGAGCCCAUGUUCGAUUAGCUAGUUGGCGGGGUAAAGGCCCACCAAGGCGACGAUCGAUAGCUGGUCUGAGAGGAUGAUCAGCCACACUGGAACUGAGACACGGUCCAGACUCCUACGGGAGGCAGCAGUAGGGAAUAUUGGACAAUGGGGGCAACCCUGAUCCAGCCAUGCCGCGUGAGUGAAGAAGGCCCUCGGGUUGUAAAGCUCUUUUGUCCGGAAAGAAAGCACUGGGUUAAUACCCCGGUGUCCUGACGGUACCGGAAGAAUAAGCACCGGCUAACUUCGUGCC